rnacentral:tRNA from 1 species
UGUAGUGUAACUUAGUGGUAGGGCACUUGCUUAGCAUGCAUGAGACCCUGGGUUCCAACCCUAGUAUCACAA